rnacentral:rRNA from 1 species
UACAGAGGGUGCAAGCGUUAAUCGGAAUUACUGGGCGUAAAGCGAGCGUAGUCGGUUAUUUAAGUCGGAUGUGAAAUCCCCGGGCUCAACCUGGGAAUUGCAUUCGAUACUGGAUAGCUAGAGUUCGGCAGAGGGAAGCGGAAUUUCUGGUGUAGCGGUGAAAUGCGUAGAUAUCAGGAGGAACACCGGUGGCGAAGGCGGUUCUCUGGGCAUGUCCUGACGCUGAGGAGCGAAAGUGUGGGGAGCGAACAGG